rnacentral:rRNA from 1 species
UGCAAGUCGAGCGAAGCGGCUGAAUUGAUUCUUCGGAUGAUUUUCAGUUGACUGAGCGGCGGACGGGUGAGUAACGCGUGGGUGACCUGCCCCAUACCGGGGGAUAACAGCUGGAAACGGCUGCUAAUACCGCAUAAGCGCACGAAGCUGCAUGGCUUUGUGUGAAAAACUCCGGUGGUAUGGGAUGGGCCCGCGUCUGAUUAGGCAGUUGGCGGGGUAACGGCCCACCAAACCGACGAUCAGUAGCCGGCCUGAGAGGGCGACCGGCCACAUUGGGACUGAGACACGGCCCAAACUCCUACGGGAGGCAGCAGUGGGGAAUAUUGCACAAUGGGGGAAACCCUGAUGCAGCGACGCCGCGUGAGCGAAGAAGUAUUUCGGUAUGUAAAGCUCUAUCAGCAGGGAAGAUAAUGACGGUACCUGACUAAGAAGCCCCGGCUAACUACGUGCCAGCAGCCGCGGUAAUACGUAGGGGGCAAGCGUUAUCCGGAUUUACUGGGUGUAAAGGGAGCGUAGACGGCAAGGCAAGUCUGAUGUGAAAACCCAGGGCUUAACCCUGGGACUGCAUUGGAAACUGUCUGGCUCGAGUGCCGGAGAGGUAAGCGGAAUUCCUAGUGUAGCGGUGAAAUGCGUAGAUAUUAGGAAGAACACCAGUGGCGAAGGCGGCUUACUGGACGGUAACUGACGUUGAGGCUCGAAAGCGUGGGG